GUGGGGAAUCUUGCGCAAUGGACGAAAGCCUGACGCAGCCAUGCCGCGUGAAUGAUGAAGGUCUUAGGAUUGUAAAAUUCUUUCACCGGGGACGAUAAUGACGGUACCCGGAGAAGAAGCUCCGGCUAACUUCGUGCCAGCAGCCGCGGUAAUACGAAGGGGGCUAGCGUUGCUCGGAAUUACUGGGCGUAAAGGGCGCGUAGGCGGACAGCUUAGUCAGAGGUGAAAGCCCAGGGCUCAACCUUGGAAUUGCCUUUGAUACUGGCUGUCUUGAGUUUGGGAGAGGUGAGUGGAACUCCGAGUGUAGAGGUGAAAUUCGUAGAUAUUCGGAAGAACACCAGUGGCGAAGGCGACUCACUGGCCCAAUACUGACGCUGAGGCGCGAAAGCGUGGGGAGCAAACAGGAUUAGAUACCCUUGUAGUCC
rnacentral:rRNA from 1 species